UACAGAGGGUGCUAGCGUUGUUCGGAAUCAUUGGGCGUAAGGGCGUGUAGGCGGUUUGUUAAGUCAUGUGUGAAAUCCCUCGGCUCAACCCGGGGAACGACGCAUGAAACUGGCAAGCUAGAGUACCAAAGAGGGGGGUGGAAUUCCCGGUGUAGCGGGUGAAAUGCGUAGAUAUCGGGAGGAACACCAGUGGCGAAGGCGGCCCCCCUGGGCCGCGCCUGACGCUGAGACGCGAAAGCGCGGGGAGCGAACGGG
rnacentral:rRNA from 1 species